rnacentral:rRNA from 1 species
UACGUAGGGUGCGAGCGUUGUCCGGAAUUAUUGGGCGUAAAGAGCUCGUAGGCGGUUUGUCGCGUCUGCUGUGAAAACCUCAGGCUCAACCUGGGGCUUGCAGUGGGUACGGGCAGACUAGAGUGCGGUAGGGGUGACUGGAAUUUCCGGUGGAGCGGUGAAAUGCGUAGAGAUCGGAAAGAACACCAACGGCGAAAGCACUCUGCUGGGCCGACACUGACACUGAGAGACGAAAGCUAGGGGAGCGAAUGGG